GGAUGUGAGGGCAAUCUGGCUGAGAGGUCUGUAAUAGGGAUCAAUAGGGAUNGAUCACUAGGGUUGAUUCAGCUGAUCUGGCUGACUAGGCAUGAGCCCUUUUCCUCCCUCACUGCUCCACGUGCAUCUCUCCUGAAUCUGCACUCCCAUUGGAAGAGGACAACCAUCUCAGAUAGAAGGAGCGAACCAUUCUUCGGUCAAGGGUAUAUGAUAUCUGCGCUCCCCUUCUCCAAACAUGUGUAAAGCAACUGUAAUCUCAGAGAUACUAUACUCUCAGUAGGAUAUAAUAUAAUUAGAAACAGGUUUUUGUUUGGUAAAUAAU
rnacentral:snRNA from 1 species